AAUCCAUAGGUUAAUGAGGCGAACCGGGGGAACUGAAACAUCUAAGUACCCCGAGGAAAAGAAAUCAACCGAGAUUCCCCCAGUAGCGGCGAGCGAACGGGGAGGAGCCCAGAGCCUGAAUCAGCAUGUGUGUUAGUGGAAGCGUCUGGAAAGGCGCGCGAUACAGGGUGACAGCCCCGUACACAAAAGCGCAUGUGCUGUGAGCUCGAUGAGUAGGGCGGGACACGUGGUAUCCUGUCUGAAUAUGGGGGGACCAUCCUCCAAGGCUAAAUACUCCUGACUGACCGAUAGUGAACCAGUACCGUGAGGGAAAGGCGAAAAGAACCCCGGCGAGGGGAGUGAAAAAGAACCUGAAACCGUGUACGUACAAGCAGUGGGAGCACAGGUUUACCUGUGUGACUGCGUACCUUUUGUAUAAUGGGUCAGCGACUUAUAUUCUGUAGCAAGGUUAACCGCAUAGGGGAGCCGGAGGGAAACCGAGUCUUAAUUGGGCGUUAAGUUGCAGGGUAUAGACCCGAAACCCGGUGAUCUAGCCAUGGGCAGGUUGAAGGUUGGGUAACACUAACUGGAGGACCGAACCGACUAAUGUUGAAAAAUUAGCGGAUGACCUGUGGCUGGGGGUGAAAGGCCAAUCAAACCGGGAGAUAGCUGGUUCUCCCCGAAAGCUAUUUAGGUAGCGCCUCGUGAAUUCAUCUCCGGGGGUAGAGCACUGUUUCGGCUAGGGGGCCAUCCCGGCUUACCAACCCGAUGCAAACUGCGAAUACCGGAGAAUGUUAUCACGGGAGACACACGGCGGGUGCUAACGUCCGUCGUGAAGAGGGAAACAACCCAGACCGCCAGCUAAGGUCCCAAAGUCAUGGUUAAGUGGGAAACGAUGUGGGAAGGCCCAGACAGCCAGGAUGUUGGCUUAGAAGCAGCCAUCAUUUAAAGAAAGCGUAAUAGCUCACUGGUCGAGUCGGCCUGCGCGGAAGAUGUAACGGGGCUAAACCAUGCACCGAAGCUGCGGCAGCGACGCUUAUGCGUUCGUUGGGUAGGGGAGCGUUCUGUAAGCCUGUGAAGGUGGCCUGUGAGGGUUGCUGGAGGUAUCAGAAGUGCGAAUGCUGACAUAAGUAACGAUAAAGCGGGUGAAAAGCCCGCUCGCCGGAAGACCAAGGGUUCCUGUCCAACGUUAAUCGGGGCAGGGUGAGUCGACCCCUAAGGCGAGGCCGAAAGGCGUAGUCGAUGGGAAACGGGUUAAUAUUCCCGUACUUGGUGUUACUGCGAAGGGGGGACGGAGAAGGCUAUGUUGGCCGGGCGACGGUUGUCCCGGUUUAAGCGUGUAGGUGUGUGUUCCAGGUAAAUCCGGUUCACUUUAACACUGAGGCGUGA
rnacentral:rRNA from 1 species